AUUGAACGCUGGCGGCAGGCCUAACACAUGCAAGUCGAGCGGAUGACGGGAGCUUGCUCCUUGAUUCAGCGGCGGACGGGUGAGUAAUGCCUAGGAAUCUGCCUGGUAGUGGGGGACAACGUUUCGAAAGGAGCGCUAAUACCGCAUACGUCCUACGAGAGAAAGCAGGGGACCUUCGGGCCUUGCGCUAUCAGAUGAGCCUAGGUCGGAUUAGUUAGUUGGUGGGGUAAUGGCUCACCAAGGCGACGAUCCGUAACUGGUCUGUGAGGAUGAUCAGUCACACUGGAACUGAGACACGGUCCAGACUCCUACGGGAGGCAGCAGUGGGGAAUAUUGGACAAUGGGCGAAAGCCUGAUCCAGCCAUGCCGCGUGUGUGAAGAAGGUCUUCGGAUUGUAAAGCACUUUAAGUUGGGAGGAAGGGCAGUAAGUUAAUACUUUGCUGUUUUGACGUUACCGACAGAAUAAGCACCGGCUAACUCUGUGCCAGCAGCCGCCGUAAUAC
rnacentral:rRNA from 1 species